rnacentral:rRNA from 1 species
UGAAUUUCGGGAUUAGUAGUUUGGUCAUGCCACCGGUACGUACUGUCCUCAGGGUUACACCCCUUCUGACGAGCCGUGAUGUCAUUAAUUUGGUGUUACGGGGAGUCAGGACUGUUACUUUGAAAAAAUUAGAGUGUUUAAAGCAGGCAAUCGCUCGAAUACAUUAGCAUGGAAUAAUGAAAUAGGACGUUCGAACCUAUUUUGUUGGUUUCUAGGAUCGACGUAAUGAUUAAUAGGGAUAGUUGGGGGCAUUAGUAUUCAAUUGUCAGAGGUGAAAUUCUUGGAUUUAUUGAAGACUAACUACUGCGAAAGCAUUUGCCAAGGAUGUUUUCAUUAAUCAAGAACGAAAGUUAGGGGAUCGAAGACGAUCAGAUACC